rnacentral:rRNA from 1 species
CCUACGGGAGGCAGCAGUGGGGAAUAUUGGGCAAUGGGCGCAAGCCUGACCCAGCAACGCCGCGUGAAGGAAGAAGGCUUUCGGGUUGUAAACUUCUUUUGUCAGGGAAGAGUAGAAGACGGUACCUGACGAAUAAGCCACGGCUACCUACGUGCCAGCAGCCGCGGUAAUACGUAGGUGGCACGCGUUGUCCGGAUUGACUGGGUGUAAAGGGCGUGUAGCCGGGUUGACAAGUCAGAUGUGAAAUCCUGCGGCGUAACCGCAGAACUGCAUUUGAAACUGUUGAUCUUGAGGACUGGAGAGGCAGACGGAAUUCCUGGUGUAGCGGUGAAAUGCGUAGAUAUUAGGAGGAACACCAGUGGCGAAGGCGGCCUGCUGGACAAUAACUGACGCUGAGGCGCGAAAGCGUGGGGAGCAAACAGGAUUAGAUACCCCAGUAGUC